AUUGAACGCUGGCGGCAUGCCUAACACAUGCAAGUCGAACGGUAGCAGGCCUUCGGGCGCUGACGAGUGGCGGACGGGUGAGUAAUACAUAGGAAUCUGCCUUUUAGUGGGGGAUAACCCGGAGAAAUCCGGGCUAAUACCGCAUACGCACUACGGUGGAAAGCAGGGGAUCGUAAGACCUUGCGCUAAUAGAUGAGCCUAUGUCGGAUUAGCUUGUUGGUAGGGUAAUGGCCUACCAAGGCGACGAUCCGUAGCUGGUCUGAGAGGACGACCAGCCACACUGGGACUGAGACACGGCCCAGACUCCUACGGGAGGCAGCAGUGGGGAAUAUUGGACAAUGGGGGCAACCCUGAUCCAGCAAUGCCGCGUGUGUGAAGAAGGCCU
rnacentral:rRNA from 1 species